rnacentral:rRNA from 1 species
UACGUAGGGUGCAAGCGUUGUCCGGAAUUAUUGGGCGUAAAGAGCUCGUAGGCGGUCUGUCGCGUCGGAUGUGAAAAUCCAGGGCUCAACCCUGGACCUGCAUUCGAUACGGGCAGACUAGAGUUCGGUAGGGGAGACGUGGAAUUCCUGGUGUAGCGGUGAAAUGCGCAGAUAUCAGGAGGAACACCGGUGGCGAAGGCGGGUCUCUGGGCCGAAACUGACGCUGAGGAGCGAAAGCGUGGGGAGCAAACAGG